rnacentral:rRNA from 1 species
AGAGUUUGAUCAUGGCUCAGGAUGAACGCUAGCUACAGGCUUAACACAUGCAAGUCGAGGGGUCAGCAUUUUAGUUUGCUUGCAACUAAAGAUGGCGACCGGCGCACGGGUGAGUAACACGUAUCCAACCUGCCGAUAACUCGGGGAUAGCCUUUCGAAAGAAAGAUUAAUAUCCGAUAGUAUAUUAAAACCGCAUGGUUUUACUAUUAAAGAAUUUCGGUUAUCGAUGGGGAUACGUUCCAUUAGUUUGUUGGCGGGGUAACGGCCCACCAAGACUACGAUGGAUAGGGGUUCUGAGAGGAAGGUCCCCCACAUUGGAACUGAGACACGGUCCAAACUCCUACGGGAGGCAGCA